GAAAGUGUUACACUAGACUGCUAACCUAGCACCCCAAAACUAACCUUUUGGCUCUUUCCA
rnacentral:tRNA from 1 species